rnacentral:lncRNA from 1 species
GAGGUUGGGCCCAGAUUGACAGUUCUUCGGCUUCUUGGGCUGGGCCUACUCUGACCGCUCCCGCCCCACCACCGAUUCUCUUCCUCCGCUCCGUUCCCCACCUCCGUUGGUGCGUCCACCGAGGCGGCCGGGUCGGUUCGCCUCCGCCGCGGUCGAUCAAUGAAUCCAUGCCGGCCUCGUGGCCUGGUUCCUUGCUCUCCUUAUUCUAGGAAUGUGCAACUGAGUGACUGCUGAGCUGUAGAUAAAUGUGAGGAGUUGAGGACAUUAUUUACAAACAAAUGGUAUGUAGUAUUCCAGAUCUGAAGAACUAGACGGAGCAUAUACAACAGAAGUGAUAGUAUAUGAAUAGUAAGGAUUUUCUCCAACAAAAAUUCUUCCAUAAUCUCUAGAUCUAUCACAUUAAGUUAUGUCACAUGUUUUGCUGAAAGCAAUAGUAACAGACUCAUAGUGUCCUUCUGGAAGAAUAUGUCCUGAAGUAAACUAAUGUAAAAGUCAACCUUUGUAAUUAAUUCGAGCUUAGUAGUGGUCUUGUAGUGACAGUACUUUAGUACUUUAUUCUCAUGACUUCUUGUGCUUACUAAGCUUUGGCAGUAAGCUUUUAAUUUGCAUCUUCCAGCAGAAGCUAUAUGUUAGAGUCAAUUUGUUCUAACUGUAAACCAUCAAAAUAACUCAUAACUGUAUCUGGUAAUACACAAACUAAAAAUUCUUGUUACUCUGUUUGAAAUAUCGUUAUUUACUGUAGUUGUUUCUGGUGUUAUAAUGUAAUAAAAAAGACAGAUCCAGUAUCAGUGGCUUCCACAUGCGUGAAGUUUAGGCGAAGGAAUAACCGAGGCAAGCUUUGCCCUG